AACUAACGCUGGCGGCGUGCCUAACACAUGCAAGUCGUACGAGAAAGCCGGCUUCGGCUGGUGAGUAAAGUGGCGCACGGGUGAGUAACGCGUGGAUAAUCUGCCCUUAAGUGUGGAAUAACGUACCGAAAGGUGCGCUAAUACCGCAUAAUGCCUGGCAACACAAGUUGUCCGGCCAAAGAAGGCCUCUGUUUACAAGCUUUCGCUUCAGGAUGAGUCCGCGUACCAUUAGCUUGUUGGUGGGGUAAUGGCCUACCAAGGCUGCGAUGGUUAGCUGGUCUGAGAGGAUGAUCAGCCACACUGGAACUGAGACACGGUCCAGACCCCUACGGGAGGCAGCAGUGAGGAAUAUUGCGCAAUGGGGGCAACCCUGACGCAGCAACGCCGCGUGAGUGAGGAAGGUUUUCGGACUGUAAAGCUCUGUCGAGCGGGAAGAAGUGUACCAUGGCUAAUAUCCAUGAUAUUUGACGGUACCGCUAGAGG
rnacentral:rRNA from 1 species